rnacentral:rRNA from 1 species
UGGGGAAUAUUGGGCAAUGGGCGAAAGCCUGACCCAGCAACGCCGCGUGAGUGAUGAAGGCCUUCGGGUUGUAAAACUCUUUGGACAGGGACGAAGAAAGUGACGGUACCUGUAGAACAAGCCACGGCUAACUACGUGCCAGCAGCCGCGGUAAGACGCAGGUGGCAAGCGUUGUCCGGAAUUAUUGGGCGUAAAGCGCGCGCAGGUGGUUUAGAAAGUCUGAUGUGAAAGCCCACGACUCAACCGUGGAGGGUCAUUGGAAACUAAUAAACUUGAGUGCAGGAGAGAAAAGUGGAAUUCCUAGUGUAGCGGUGAAAUGCGUAGAGAUUAGGAGAAACACCGGUGGCGAAAGCGGCUUUUUGGCCUGCAACUGACACUGAGGCGCGAAAGCGUGGGGAGCAAACAGG